rnacentral:rRNA from 1 species
UACGAAGGGGGCUAGCGUUGCUCGGAAUCACUGGGCGUAAAGGGUGCGUAGGCGGGUCUUUAAGUCCGGGGUGAAAUCCUCCCGCCUAACGGGAGAAGAGCCUCGGAGACUGGGGGCCUCGAGGAGGGUAGGGGCGUGCGGAACUCUGGGUGGAGCGGUGAAAUGCAUUGAUAUCCAGAGGAACUCCGGUGGCGAAGGCGGCACGCUGGACCCUUUCUGACGCUGAGGCGCGAAAGCCAGGGGAGCAAACGGG